AUUGAACGCUGGCGGCAGGCCUAACACAUGCAAGUCGAGCGGAGCGGCGGACGGGCGAGUAAUGACUAGGUAGCUGCCUGGUCGUGGGGGAUAACGUCCGGAAACGGGCGCUGAUAUCGCAUAAUAUCAGAUGAGUCUAGGUCGGAUUAGCUAGUUGGUGGGGUAAAGGCUUACCUAGGCGACGAUCCGUAGCUGGUCUGAGAGGAUGAUCAGUCACACUGGGACUGAGACACGGUCCAGACUCCUACGGGAGGCAGCAGUGGGGAAUAUUGGACAAUGGGCGAAAGUCUGACCCAGCCAUGCCGCGUGUGUGAAGAAGGUCUUCGGAUUGUAAAGCACUGUUAGUAGGGAGGCGUUACCAACAGAGUAAGCACCGGCUAACUACGUGCCAGCAGCCGCGGUAAUUC
rnacentral:rRNA from 1 species